CGGGCGGCCCCCCCCCGAGGGCGGGGCGUUGGGGGCGUCUCGUACCAAGCCUCACCCGGGGGAGGGGGGCUGCGGAGCUGACGAGCACACGGCGGGGCACGGGGACCCCGUGUCCAUCCGGCCCGGGGCCGCGCGGGCUGUGCCGCUUUGGGAGCCCCCCUCCGUCUGCCCGCGGAGCUGCUGGGGCCAACGCGGAGCCGACGAGCGCCCCCUCCCCCAACAUCCCCCCCCGCGGCCGCCACAUGGUCUCGCCGGGGGGGGGAGAGCUUUUGUCCCCCGCGCACCGCCGUAGGCGGGCGUUUUCCCGCCGCCGUUGUCAUGGCGCUGGAGGUGCUGCGGCCGCGYGGCGUGCGCCUGGCGCUGCUGGCGGCCUUCGCGGCGGGCGUGCUGGUGGGCUGGCAGGCCGGGCGCGCUCGCCGCCGCUUCCUCCAGUGGCGCAAGCGGCGGCUCCAGCAGCGCCUGGCCGCCGCGCAAGAGCAGCUCGAGCUGGCCUGAGCGCGCCUUGUGUUGAUGGGAGUGGACAGUGAAUGAACAUAAUGGAUUCCUCUUGCACCUCUAUCUAAAUGGAUUUAAAAAGAACUCUUUUAAAAAUCAUGUUACAGUGCUGUUGGAAAAGGAAAGCAUCUUGUAGAAUGACAGGACCUAUCUUUUACAAACUGUUGUCAGAAAAAAGAUCUUCACCUACGUCAGACUAACCCAUCUAGCAAAAUGUUGAGAGACAAGUUAAUUUUGAACAACACCAAAUAUUUUUCCUUAUUUGGAAGGACUAUCUCUACUUAAUCUUGCUUUGUCAUCCCUAAGACUGAGGUAUAKUGUUCUGCUCUUGCCAAGAAGUACUGCUGGUACAUUAAACUAGUAAAAAGCUUAUGUGGUGUAUCCUAGGUAUGUUUAUUAUUCUGAUAAGUGAAAGUAUAGCCUAAGGAUAUUCAUAAUGAGGGAUAAAUCUCAUUAUGAAAAUACGCAAAUGAAAAAAGCCCAUGGGAACAAUUAAGUGAUGAUACACCAGCAUGCAAUGGUAGGAUGAGCUAGUAUAUUAAAUUAAUGAUGGUUGUGCUUUGGACAUUGAAUUUCAAGGAACAUAAGGUACUGGAUUAUAUAUCCUAUCAUGUAGUCAUUGCAAAGACUACACUGGUUCUUUAGGCUUACUAUUUUAUAUCACAGCCACUUCCAGCAAAUGGACAUCAUGACCUAAAAUUCUUGAUGGUUUUCCCUUGGACUUGUGCCUCAUACUGCAGAUAGCAGUAGUUUGUUCCUUUUGCGCUUCCAAGAGUAUUUCCUUGAGUCKGAGAGAAGGUGGUGCUCCUGGUUUGUGUCAGAGUAUUGCAAGCUGUGCAGACUGCUGAUCUUAAAGUUCAUAAUCUAAGUUGAAUUAUACCCCUGCCUUUUCUCCAGGUUUGUGGAUUUGUUUUUUUUUGUUUAGUUGGUUGCUUUUUUUUUAGCUUUGGUGUGUUUGCAUAGCGGAAGUCUAACUCUUGUGGCUUGGGCACACCUAUUUCUGAUGUGGUGUAAUGUACUGCGCUUGCCUUAAGAGAGAAUUUUGAGGAUUUAAUUUAACAGCUCCCAUUGGCAUACUAGUACCCCCCCCCAAAAAAAUUAAAACAAACAAACAAACAAACAACCCUGUUCUGUGCCCUUUAAUGUCAUGAAAUGUUGAUUUGUAACUGAAUAAAGUAGUCUGUGGAUAGAAACA
rnacentral:lncRNA from 1 species